rnacentral:rRNA from 1 species
AUUGAACGCUGGCGGCAGGCCUAACACAUGCAAGUCGAGCGAGCGGCGGACGGGUGAGUAAUGUAUGGGGACUGCCCGAUAGAGGGGGGUAACUACUGGAAACGGUGGCUAAUACCGCAUACUAUCGGAUAACCCAUAUGGGAUUAGCUAGUAGGUGGGGUAAAGGCUCACCUAGGCGACGAUCUCUAGCUGGUCUGAGAGGAUGAACGGCCACACUGGGACGGAGACACGGCCCAGACUCCACCGGAGGCAGCAGUGGGGAUUAUUGCACAAUGGGCGAAGUCCUGAGGCAGCAAUGCGGGGUGUAUGAAGAAGGCCUUAGGUUUGUAAAGUACGUUCAGCGGGGAGGCGUUACCCGCAGAAGAAGCACCGGCUAACUCCGUGCCAGCAGCCGCGGUAAUAC